rnacentral:misc_RNA from 1 species
UCACUACUUGCGUAGGCAGUUUCUCUAGAGUCCCCAGCAUUACCUGAUGGCAACUAAAGAUAGGGGUUGCGCUCGUUAUGGGACUUAACCCGACACCUCACGGCACGAGCUGACGACAACCAUGCAGCACCUCGUAGGCCGCUCCGAAGAGAAAUCCGGUUUCCCGGACGGUCGUCCUACGUUCUAGCCCAGGUAAGGUUCCUCGCGUAUCAUCGAAUUAAACCACAUGCUCCUCCGCUUGUGCGGGCCCCCGUCAAUUCCUUUGAGUUUCAACCUUGCGGCCGUACUCCCCAGGUGGAUUACUUAAUGGUUUCCCUUAGACGCUGACUGUAUAUCGCCAACAUCGAGUAAUCAUCGUUUACAGCGUGGACUAC